UACGGAGGGUGCAAGCGUUAUCCGGAUUCACUGGGUUUAAAGGGUGCGUAGGAGGGUAGGUAAGUCAGUGGUGAAAUCUUCGAGCUUAACUCGGAAACUGCCGUUGAUACUAUCUAUCUUGAAUACCGUGGAGGUGAGCGGAAUAUGUCAUGUAGCGGUGAAAUGCUUAGAUAUGGCAUAGAACACCAAUUGCGAAGGCAGCUCGCUACACGAAUAUUGACUCUGAGGCACGAAAGCGUGGGGAUCAAACAGG
rnacentral:rRNA from 1 species